CAGAAAUGGAGGCUUUUUGCCUGAAGUUGAGGUUCCACUCAUCUAAUUUACAGUUCUUCUAACCUACAAAGUAGCUGCCUGGUUCCAGUGCUCACAACUGUGUGAAAACAAAGGUGAUACAUUGCUGGUAAAGGAGUGUGAAUAUACUGGUGCCAGCACUUUCCCAGUGCUUCUUCUGCUUCUGCUGUGUCACCACUGCGCUUCCUGGCCCGACACAGUCCUGACAGAUCAGUGCUGUCUCACUUCUCCUUUCUAGUUUAACGGGAGUUUCUUCAGCUGCUCGAAGGUGAUGAAAAACUGAGGAAAAAGAGGAGUUGAGAAGCAAGGUUGGUUUCAUGAACAAAGGCACUCGCUAACUGAGCAAUGCAAGGAAGUGGGAGUGACACGCCAACAGCCAACCAGGUUACAGUAUCAACUAUCCAGUUUGGUUGCGGCAUGUUGUUUUCUCGCUGCUGAUUCUUUGCAUGGAGUGAGAAGAGAAAGUGAAAAAAAAAGAAAAAAGAGUGCCACAUAGAACAAGAGGAAAAGUCACCUUGACAGAAUGGCAUUUCAAAAUUAUCAUUAUUAUUAUUAUUAUUAUUUUUUUUAAACGGACUGUAGUCAGAACAAGGCGCUUAUAAUUAGUAGUGUCACACCACCUGAGCACUCAGCCUGGAGCACUAAACAUGCAGAAAAUUGUUAUUUUCAGGUUUCUCUCAGUUUACAUUUUCACACUUUGCACUAUUUUGCUACACUUUACGAUUUUUGCACCUUAAUGUUAAGAGGUUAUUCUUAUGUGUUCAAUGUGCUUUUAGAAUUGUGUUAACAUUGAGUUUUUCCAUGGUUGUAUUGACAUUUCCUUUCCUUUCUGGCUUGAUAACUGAGGGGAUUAUAAUCAGAGGAAGGGAACAUUUUAAAUAACAAUGUUUACAUUUAAUAUAUUUUUGUCCUGGUCCUUAUU